CCACCGGGGCCGACCAUGACCCUCAUCGCCAUGGAAACACCCGGACCGCCCCUGCCCGGAGCUGGUUGGCUCAGCCCACAAACUGCGCCCACAGCCCCCGUUCCGCAAACCACGCCUGCCUUCCACUGCAACACGGGGGUGGAACCUGAGAUGACAUCACUACAAAUGCCCGGAUGUUACCACUACGUCACACCCGGAAGCACAGCAGAACCAGGAAGCUCCAACACCACGAUACAGAGCCCCGUUCCCAGCACCAGUCCCGGACAUGCAGCUGUCACUGCUGCAGCACCGUGGCAGCUACAGUCAAAGUCCCAACAAGGCGAGGAAGCCCCUAAAACCCUGCUGACGCCAGCUCCAGCCCCUUUGAUGUUCCGAGCAGGAAAGAUUCCCACCCGAGACCGGGUAAUCUUCUGGACAGAGGUAAAACAAAAGGCUAUAGAUUGUGGAGAUAUAGAAGAGGCUGAACUAAUUUCUGUACCCAUGGACUCACCAUCAUCCGAGAACUGGCAACAGGGCGAGGGAACAGUUACAGCAUUCCCAGUGGUACAAGCAGCGUUGAAGGAGCAGGUGACGAAGGAGCAGGCACCUGAAGAGCCUUCACUGUUGUCGCGGUGCCAUGAGCGUCUUUCUUUUUCCGGUUAUCUGGUGCCGCAUACCCCACAGGUAAGGCAUACACAGUCUGCCGCAAAUACACAAGCUCCACCAGCACUCUGCUGCCUCGCCUAACGCGGUCCCACAAAGUGUCCCCUAAAACGUUCCAUGUCCGAGGGUCAAAAACAUUGGUACUAUUCAAAGUUGGAUCCCAGUCUUUCCAAUCUGAAGAUUCAACUUUCCUGCCAUGUUUCUGCGAAAUCUGUUUCAGCAUCUCCGCGACGUUCUUUUGCUCCUGGGAAACACCACUCCCCAUAGUUCUUGGCUGCUACCCAUUUGUUGCAUCAUGUUGCAACUGAGUUCAUCAUGUCCAGGGAGGGUGCAGCUGCCAGUGCCGGGCGUGGGAACAAACGAGAUGGGUCUUCAUUUCAUAAAGCUCGAGAAUCCAUUUAUUACCCCUGGGGAGGAGGGGCAGGACAAAGACGAAAGAUCAGGCAAAGGCAGGGUUGUAGGGUUUUUAUAGGGUAUCGCAGGGGUGAAGUUAGGGUUUGGGUCAAGGAAGGAGUUAUUAGCAACACAAGAAGGGUAAGAUCAAAUUCCUGCCUCUUAGGAGCAGGGGCAUUCCACACCCUCUGUCCUGCAGAAAGGUCAACUGGCACCAGGAGCUUUGUUUCAGCUCCUGGGCUUCAUUUCAGCUCCUGGGCUUCCUUUCAGCCCCUCUGUAAAGUUCAGCCAAGUCAUCCUCACUGGUGCAACUGCUAGUUGCCUUUCAAUCCCUGAUGCAGGGCCCCAUUUGUGAGAGACUGAGACACAGACUCAGACCAGCAGAGAAUCUGAAUUGUUUAUUCAAAGAAACAAGCUGGUUUUAUACACUUUUUCAAGGCACAGUAUUUCCUUACAUGGUAAUUCUCACUAUGUGAGCUAUCCCAUUUUACCACGUCAGCAACACACGUUCUAAAUGUCCUUCUGCUGGGUGAUCACGUGCUGUUCACCUGUCAGUUUGCUUCCAGCAGGCUUCUCUCCUGUAGGGCUCUACCGCAUGACACCUCCUUCCCCCCCAGUGUCAGACGGAGACAAUCCUCUCUGUGUUGCCAUGUGCUUCUGCAGACGCAUCCCACAGCCCUCAGCUCAACUCCAUCCUAUCUCUUCCCACAGGCAGGUGCGAUGAUUCCUCCGUGGCUGCAGGUGGCGGUGUGGCGUGAGCUCAGAUGACUCUUCACGAAAUUUCGAAAGAGAAACGUACCCUGCUGGAAGUUCGGCAGCUCAGUCAGGUCUCCUGGGAUGAUUGGUGAUUGCAGGUCGACACCCCGGGGACAGCAGAGGACUAAAUAAUGAAAAACAAGAGGGGGAAGAAAAAGCAGGCAAAAAUUGUGAGUAUUUGCAUGCGUGUGAGAGUCCGAGAGUGUGCUUGGAGUGUGUGUGAGAUUUGAGAGAUUUACCGGAUUUGGGGGGCUCGAGAACACCUGGUGACGCCAGGUUGAGAGUCACCAGAUUUGGGGGGCUUUGACCACGCUUGUGUGAGUGGCAGGGUCUCAGAGACCAGGCAUGAACGCACUUGGGUGACGGCAGGUGGGGACCCAACACAGCAGCUCUCAGCACCUGCUGGCCUGGCAGGAGUGGUGGCAGCAGCGGCAACACGAAGUGUGGUUUACGUGCAGCACCGCUGAGGACCAAGGCACCAAAGCCCAGCGUUGUAAUCUCCGGCGCCACCAACUUGGCUAGGAGUGGGGAUGGUGACUUGAAAGUGUGGGCACAGUUGCACACGACGCGGCUGGCAAUUGGUGCCUCUUAGCGAAGCCCUGGCACCAGGCUGCCUGUGGCGACUUGGGGUCCCAGGGGUGGGGAUAGCCAGCAGGGCUGACCCAGGAGUGCCGGACUGUGGAGACUUCUCUGCAGUAUCCACUGGCAUAAAAAGCCGCAGGGUCGCAGGACCCCACAUGGUGGGAGGGGGGCCUUUUGACAGUUGCCCUAGCACGCCAAAAGGCACAGGGGUGUGAGACCCUGGUGGCAAAAGAGUAGAAGGGCUGACCCAGUCGCACGGGAGUUCCUGGACUGCAGGCGGGGUUUUUAUUUGUUCCAGCCUUCCAGGGAGAAAGUAAGGGGUUUUUUUCCUUCUUUUUCUUUUCCUUUCUCUCUCUUUUUCUACUUUCUUUUUCUUUCUAACUGAUCAGGGAGCCAGGCUCUGUCAGGAAGGCCUGUGAUUAGUCAGUCAGGAUGGGACUAUGGGCAAGUAAGGAAUCCUCAAGGGGAGAAGGAGAAAUUGAGGAGAUAUCAGGAGGUAUACCCCCAGAUAGCCCACUAGGAAGAAAAUUAGCCCAGUGGAGAUAUGACUCCAACACUAGAGAUAAAAAUAAGUUCAAGAUGAUACAAUACUGUAUGAUAGAGUGGUCUAAAGAAGAAAUUCGGCCUGAUAAUGUACUUUGGCCAAGGUAUGGGUUGGACGAAGGGUGGAUAUGUCGGGUUUUAAACAUGUAUGUAAAGGCUAAGAAACCAUUUAAUCAAGAAGGGAGUGACUAUGCUGCCUGUUGGGAAGCAGAAAUUCCACCUUCAGGGGUGGAUGACUUUGAAAUAACAAAGAAUAAAGAAUGGGACCAGUUAGACUAUUAGCCUCCUCCUCCUCCACUGGCACUGACCGCACCUCCCUUGCUCUCUGAUGAUCCUAGUCAAAAUACUGGCAACAGAAUGGAACAGCAAAAGGAAAAGAAGUCAGGUGACAGGAACCAAGCAAUAGGAUUGUAUCCUCUUGAUAUGGGAAACACAUAUGUAUAUGAAAAUUCAGAAUUUUAGAAGCAUAUAAUGUACUUAGGCAGGUGGAGGAAAACAGAAAUAUAUAUAUAGCUUAUUUAGCAAGUUUGCAAAAGUACAGAACACAGUUUGUAACAGGAAUGUAACUUGCUAGGUAGAGACAACUUGUAACAGAACACAUAAGAAUUUAGUUGCUUGGUAAAGGCCAUAAAGAUAAAAAACUCAGUAAAGCAAGACUCAGGUAUUGCUGAAACCCAUAAAGCAGAACCUUUUGCUUAAGGACCCAGCAAGAACCAGGCUCCUGGUUUUGGCCAGGACAAAUUGACCUGAGAGAAAGCCAAACCUCCACUGCGCCUGCCCAGAAGAAAGGGUCAAGCAGCGAACAUCGAGGAAGAUGUUACUUCAUCAAAGAUGCCCGCCCACGACCACCAGGAGGCGUGGCACCACCAAAGACUCUGGGUGGGGAAUGGGCGGGCAGGGAGGUAUAGGCUUGUGAGAUCAAUGCGUAUAAAAAACCUGUAACCUGCCUUAGCAGGUACACAUGUCUUUGGUGGAAAUAUCUCCCAUCCAUCCCAGCUGGAAUAAAACAUAUCUGCUUUACAAUUUCUAAUUGUAAAGUCCUUACUCCGCAAAUCACUCUGAGGGAAGUACCACUGGGUGGGGCACAUGGGGGAAUUGGGUUUGUAACUGCACCACUCAAUUCCUCUGAUGUGAAGAUGUUCAAGAAAGAAUUAAAAGGAUUACUAGAAGAACCCCUUGGGUUAGCAGAACAGUUAGACCAAUUUUUAGGCCCCAAUAUUUAUACAUGGGAAGAAAUGCCAUGGUCAAUGGCAAUAAUGGCCAAUAAUGCCAAUAAUGGCCAAUAAUGGCCAUGUUAUUUACACCAGAAGAAAGACAGAUGAUCGGGGUGGCUGGGAUAUGAAUAUGGGAAAGGGACAUCCUAGGGAUCUGAAAAUGCCCACAGUACACCCUAAUUGGGACCACAACGACCCUGGGGGAAGGCAAAACAUGGAGGAGUAUAGAACAUCAAUUGUAAGGAGUAUUAAAGAAGCAGCCCCACAAAGCCAAAAUGCUUGGAAAGCAUUUGAUGAACAACAAAAGAGGGAAGAAACCCCAACAGAGUGACUAGAAAGGCUGAGGAAAAAUAUGAAACAAUAUUCACGUAUCAACCCUGAAACAGCAGCCAGACAGAUCUUGCUAAAAACAUAUUUUGUCACCCAUGUGUGGAUAGAUAUACAGAGAAAACUAGAGAAA